UACAGAGGUCUCGAGCGUUAGGCGGAAUCACUGGGCUUAAAGCGUGUGUAGGCGGAUCGUUAAGUACCUUGUGAAAUCCCACGGCUUAACCGUGGAACUGCUUGGUAUACUGGCGGUCUUGAGCCAGCUAGGGGCUACCGGAACAAAUGGUGGAGCGGUGAAAUGCGUAGAUAUCAUUUGGAACGCCAAUGGUGAAAACAGGUAGCUGGGAGUGUGCUGACGCUGAGACACGAAAGCCAGGGGAGCAAACGGGG
rnacentral:rRNA from 1 species